GAUGAACGCUGGCGGCGUGCCUAAUACAUGCAAGUCGAGCGAAGCGGGGACGGGUGAGUAACACGUGGAUAACCUCAUAUAAGACUGGGAUAACUUCGGGAAACCGGAGCUAAACCGGAGAAUUAAAGAUGGAUCCGCGCUACAUUAGCUAGUUGGUAAGGUAACGUCUUACCAAGGAAACUAGGCAUAGCCGACCUGAGAGGGGUAUCUGCCACCCUGCAAAUGAGACACGUCCCAGACUCCUGCGGGCGGCGGCAGUAGGGAACCGUCCGCAAUGGGCGAAAGCCUGACGGAGCAACGCCGCGUGAGUGAUUAAGGUCUGCGGAUCGUAAAACUCUGUUAUUAGUGAAGCGGUACCUAAUCAGAAAGCCACGGCUAACUACGUGCCAGGAGCCGCGGUAAUAC
rnacentral:rRNA from 1 species